rnacentral:rRNA from 1 species
GCUUGCUUCUCUUGAGAGCGGCGGACGGGUGAGUAAUGCCUAGGAAUCUGCCUGGUAGUGGGGGAUAACGUUCGGAAACGGACGCUAAUACCGCAUACGUCCUACGGGAGAAAGCAGGGGACCUUCGGGCCUUGCGCUAUCAGAUGAGCCUAGGUCGGAUUAGCUAGUUGGUGAGGUAAUGGCUCACCAAGGCGACGAUCCGUAACUGGUCUGAGAGGAUGAUCAGUCACACUGGAACUGAGACACGGUCCAGACUCCUACGGGAGGCAGCAGUGGGGAAUAUUGGACAAUGGGCGAAAGCCUGAUCCAGCCAUGCCGCGUGUGUGAAGAAGGUCUUCGGAUUGUAAAGCACUUUAAGUUGGGAGGAAGGGCAUUAACCUAAUACGUUAGUGUUUUGACGUUACCGACAGAAUAAGCACCGGCUAACUCUGUGCCAGCAGCCGCGGUAAUACAGAGGGUGCAAGCGUUAAUCGGAAUUACUGGGCGUAAAGCGCGCGUAGGUGGUUUGUUAAGUUGGAUGUGAAAUCCCCGGGCUCAACCUGGGAACUGCAUUCAAAACUGACUGACUAGAGUAUGGUAGAGGGUGGUGGAAUUUCCUGUGUAGCGGUGAAAUGCGUAGAUAUAGGAAGGAACACCAGUGGCGAAGGCGACCACCUGGACUAAUACUGACACUGAGGUGCGAAAGCGUGGGGAGCAAACAGGAUUAGAUACCCUGGUAGUCC